GACAGAGGUGGCAAGCGUUGUUCGGAUUCAUUGGGUGUAAAGGGCUCGUAGGUGGCCAACUAAGUCAGACGUGAAAUCCCUCGGCUUAACCGGGGAACUGCGUCUGAUACUGGAUGGCUUGAGUUCGGGAGAGGGAUGCGGAAUUCCAGGUGUAGCGGUGAAAUGCGCAGAUAUCAGGAGGAACACCGGUGGCGAAGGCGGUUCUCUGGGCAUUACCUGACGCUGAGGAGCGAAAGUGUGGGGAGCGAACAGG
rnacentral:rRNA from 1 species